rnacentral:lncRNA from 10 species
AAGUACCUGUGAGAUGGGGAUACAAAGGCUUAGCUCCUCUGAAUUUCAAGAUGGCUACUAGAAAUCAUAUCCACAUUGAAGGCAGAGAGAAGACAGAGGAAAUGAAGUAGAAACAAAUGGAUCUUUUCCCUUUAUCAAGAAAGCAAGAAUUUUCUCAAAAAUCCCAGCAGACCAUUUUCCAAAUUUUGGGCUCCAGUCGAUUCUUGUGUAUUACGCUGUGAGCAAGACUUGCAUGUCGUCACAGAGAACGGGGCACUAUCCCUGAUAAAGAUUGUGGGAGUUGGCUUCCUACAGCAUCGAUCACAUGGCUUUAACCCACGAGCAAGAUGGCUGAAGCUGAAGAAUGGGCUGGAUCACAAAAAUAGAUUUUCUGUCUGAGGUUU